ACUUUAUCCCUCUAAUUCAUCCAAACACUAGAAGAGGGGAUGAGUUUAUUUAAUCCCCUCUAGAAUAACCCAUUAAGAGUGGGAAAUUGAUGUUCCACCUUUUUGGUGGAAUAACAAUUUCUUCUCUUUAUACCUCUACUAAUUGAAUAAUAAAAUAUUAUUAAUUAAUGUAUUAUAUAAUAUUUUAUUAAUUAAUUAACUAAUUAAUAAUUAACUUAGUAAUAAAAUAUUGGCUAAAUUAAUAACUAUUUAUUAAAGUUUAAAAAUUAAAAUUUUAAUUUUUUAAAAUUGUAAAUUUGAGAUUUUAAAAUUUUAAAAUUUAAAAGUACAUAUUUUAAAUUCUAAAAUAUAAAUAUAAAAUAUAAAAAUUCAAAUUCUAAUAUAAAAAAAGGGAUAAUACCAUUAUUUUUUAUUUAUAACUAUCUACUUUAAUUCUUAUUCCAUCUUAUCUAACUAAACGCUAUUUUUUUUUAUUAUCAAGAAUAAUCUAAUUUUCAUCCAAACGCAAAAUUAAUCUAAUCCCUGUUUAUAUCUCAAUUUAUACACUAGUGUAGUAACCGGCACGAUGCCGCGGAUAAAUAAUAGAAGAAAAAUUAAAAAAUAUUGAAGAGUAAGAAGAAAGAAGUUUGGAAAAUAAAAAUUCAAGUGUGUUUUAUUUUUUGGGUAGGGAAACGUAUGAAUUGAACUAAUCAAUAUGGCCAUUGAAAAAUCGAUAACCGUCCAGAAUCAAUAUUCAAAAAAAAAUACCUACAAAGGUCGUAUAAAGAUGGAGAUAAUAAUGUUGCGAUAAUGACGAUGAUGGCGAUAAAAAUCUGAUAAAAAUUUGCAGGAUUUUGCACCUUUUGGAUAUGGAAUGAUCAAAAGUUGCGGGCCAAAACUGCCACAUCAAUUAUGAAAUAAAAAAUAACCUCUAAAUUAAUCAAAAUAAUGCAUAUAAAUCAAAUCCUUGAUUGAUACAAUCACCGUAUAAAAAAUAAUGCAAAUUAAUUAAAUUCUAAAUAAAUAUGUAGUAAGAAUUCAAGAUUAAAAUAAAGAAAAGAAAAAUUAGGUUUAGAAUUUUCAUUUUUCAAACUUACCCCUCGAACCGUCCAUUAUUGCUCUCCAAUUAGCUUCCUCUAUUGAAAAAACCGUUCGAUUACCUUCUUUUCCCAUCAAUCCGAAGAGAUCGACAUUGACAGAAACUCUAUAAACACUCUUUUGAUUCGGAGGGGGGUUUGGGUCGAGUCGGAUUGGCACGGAUUAGGACUUGGAAGACUCCCUUGCUCUUCCCCAACCUCUCGAUCUGAAAGUAGUAGCUAUUCAUCUUCUCAAUUUUUAAUUUUGCAUGUGAGAAAUUGUUUGUAGGAGAAGAAAGGACUAAUUUUGAAGAGGAAACGUAUAAAUUAAAAAACAUAUUGAUUACAUAUCAUUGAAUAAAGAGGAGGGCAGAAGAAAAAGCCAAGAAUAAAAAUCAAUUUAAAAAAAGUAAUUUUGAAGAGGAAACGUAUAAAUUAAAAAGCACAUUAAUUACAUAUCAUUGAAUA
rnacentral:lncRNA from 1 species